CGAAAAAUCACAAAAAUACACGAAUUAAUAGAUCAAGCCUCAAACCUGUUUAAUUUCGUGUUUGGAGUGUAAGAUUGCCAACUAAUUUGGGAGAAAUUAGGAAAUUUUGAAUUUUCCCCAAUUUCUCCCCAAAUCAGACAACCAACCAACCCUCAAAUCUCGAAAUUAGAGUGUAUGUGAUGAUGAUUUUUAUCAAACACUCCUACAUAAUGUGAAAUUGGCCCUAAUUGAUCAUUGCUAGAAGUGGAAUUUCGAAAAAUAAGAUUAUAUAUUAUUUUUUAAUUAAAAAUAUUUUUUCUAAAACAAUCACAAAAACUUCACGAAUCUGUAGAUCAGGUCUCAUACAUGUUUGAUUUCAUGUUUAGAGUGUAAGAUUGUAACCAAUUUGGGAGAAAUUUUCCCCCAUAUCAGACCACCUACCCUCAAAUCUCGAAUCGAAGCUUCAAAUCCUUGAUUUUCCAUACAAAACACGAAGAAUCAAUAAUUUCUAAGCUUUUGGCACUGAUUUUGUAUGAUUUAAACAAAAAAAAAAGGAUGGAAAUGCAAAAUCACACACUAAAUGACAACCUGCCCCAAAUCCGCAAAAUUUUUUAUUCCAAUUUGAAAUCUUCGUUCUUCUCCCAAAUGAUUGCAAAGGAUGGACCAAAAUCCACCCAUAAUGUGUUUAGAUUAGAGAAGAAUGAAGGAAAAUGACGGAAAAAUGAAGUUUUGAGGUUUUUUUUAAUAUAGAGGGGUUGUGGUUCAUGUCAGCGUUCGACGUUAUCUGUCGAUAUCGACAGAUAUUGUCGACACCAAGUAGCUUUUCUAAAGAAAGAACCACGAGAUAUCGGCGAUAUCUCACGGUACAUGCAACACCAUGCGAUGCUUUGUGAUAUUUUGCCCGAUACCAAGGAAUACUGAUACUCCAGGUCAAUUUUGUAUUGUUGCCCUGCAAUAAUAAUAAUAUCAGCCAAUAUUAUCGAUACGACAAUCAUCGCUCACGAUGAUGAUAUAUCGCUGAUAUCUCAUGAUACAUUGCAAUAUUUUUGCCGAUACCCAAAAUUUUGGGUACUAUUGACGUAUAUCAUAUCGCCCCUGUGUGAUACCAAUAAUAUUGGCUGAUAUUGCCAUUACUACAAAUAUUUAGUAUAAGUAUUACACUAUGUAUAACACCCUUGGAAUAUGAAAAUAUAUUGGGAAACAUUGGGAAAUAUCACAUAUAUCACGUAAUAUAUCACAAUGAAGGAAAAUUAUGGAAAAAUGAAGAAAAUGGUGGAAUUAUUCAAUUAAGGAGAUGUUAGAAGACACAUGAUUCCACAACAUUAAAAAGAAUGAUGCACAAUAUUUUUCCACUAUUUAGGGGAUAAAACAGUGCGUUGUCGGACAAAACUAUGCUCGAAAAUCCUUCUCAAUCCGUGAUAUCUCCACCAAAUUCAUGUUCUGAUGCAAGUGGAGUUGUAAAAACAUAACUACAAAGAGAAUCCCCAAAAUAUUUUGGGCAAAAAAUAGUUUUUUUUUUUCUGAUAUCUGCUAAUUUAUGAUGGUUUCAAUCGGAAUAUUGACAAGUUGUAGUAAAAAUAUUGCAAAUAUCACACGGUAUUUGGAAAUUUGCAAAUAUCAUGAUGAAAUUUCGUAUCACCCAUGAGCAAUAUCGAUAUUUCAGCCAAUGCCAUCUAUAUAUUGAUCACUGAUGUCAUCAUAGUUGCACCAUCCUUCUAAUUAGGUGCCGCUCACACUUUGAAUUAUACCUCAAGACUCAAGCUACCACUCUCACUUCCUUACUAUUUAAUAUGUAUACUUGUUGGCUAACAUUUUGAAACAGAUUCUUCCCUGCCCCUGCACCCAAAUUUGUUGCCACUUUGCUUCAUGCUUCAUUCAACUAUAUGUCAACAAGCCAUUUCAUUUUUUGCCUAUGUUUGUGUACCCUGCUAGUGUGAUCAACUGGUUGGAAAAGAUUCAAAGGGAUUUCUUUGGAAAGGUGCAGAAGUGAAGUGUGACCUGCAUCCUGUGGAGUGGGGAGUGUAUGAUUAGCAGUAGUGAGCAACAAUGGAUCAUUAAAAUCAUGAACAUGGCAGUCCUGAGAAAGUGGCUAUGGAGGUUUGGCUUGAAGAUGAUAGCUCAUGGAAACAGGUUCAUUUCAAGAAAAUAUGGUGUGAACAUUGGUGGAUGGUUCACUUAGGCCUCUUCUUUGUAUAGGACUCCAGGGGUGUGGGAAACAAAUUAUGUGGUUGCUUUCUCUUCAGAGAAACUUAAGCGAAGAAGAAAUCUAAGAUAUGGUGGGCCUUCCCACCUUCCUGCAGUGAUUGAGGUUGUCUUUCGAAAAUAGGGAUCUAUGGUUCUGGACAAUGUGAAGGACGUCAUGUUUAUCAAUGAAAUCCUUCUAUUCGGUUUUAUCAACUUGCUCAGCAGAGUGAAGAGAGCCAACAGAGUGGCUGUCCUCAGAUGUGUUCACCUACCCCUUUAAAUUAGUCUGUUUGCAUUUUUUGCCUUCAGAAAACAAAAUAAGUGGAUCAUUUAUUCAUCCAUUAUGAUUUUGCGUGUGACAACCAGUGGAGGUUUUCCUAACCCUUUCAGAUCUGUUGGGUGAUGCUUGAAUCCGUCAGGCCCUUUUUUUCUGGAUUGGCAUGAGGGUUGUCAGUGUCCAAAAGGGAAGAUUUUUCUAUGAGGGUUUCCCUCCUUCCUGAGCAAUGGGUGAUAUAUGAGUUGGACAGAGUAAUAGAUAUUGUUAUUCGGGCUGUUUAUCAAGUCAACCAGCAGCGGUGUUCGUGAGAACCAGGAGAAAGGUUUUAAAUAUCCAUUCCGCACAAAGUUUCACAGCUUCAGGAAUGGGAAAGUUCUCAGGAAAUAUCAGGAAAGGUUCCGAUAUGGUGUAGAGUUAUACAUUCUGAGGGGAACUCUGGGGAAACCUCAAGAAAUGGUGGUAUUAGGAGAUGUUAAAAGAUACAUGAUUAUAGACUCGGAACUCAAACAUUACAAAAAAUUGGUAAUAGAUUAAUAGUCAUCUGACAAAAAUAUGCAUUAGCAGCCGUAAAUGAUGCAACUAUAUCCAAGAAGAGGUCAUAUCAUUCAACCAUCAUAAAAUACAAGCAGUAAAAAUAAAUUCAUGUAAUAUGCAUGGAUUUCAACUUCAUUACUAAUAUAUUGGAGAAAAAAGAAA